UACGAAGGGGGCUAGCGUUGCUCGGAAUCACUGGGCGUAAAGGGCGCGUAGGUGGUCUGAUAAGGGUGUGGUGAAAGCCCGGGGCUCAACCCCGGGUCGGCCGUGCCGACUGUUAGACUAGAGUGCUGUAGGGGCAGGCGGAAUUCCGGGUGUAGCGGUGGAAUGCGCAGAUAUCAGGAAGAACACCGGUGGCGAAGGCGGCUCUCUGGGCCUUACCUGACGCUGAGGAGCGAAAGCGUGGGUAGCGAACAGG
rnacentral:rRNA from 1 species